UGCGUAGGCGGCCCGGGAAGUUGGGUGUGAAAGCCCUCGGCUUAACCGAGGAAUGGCGCCCAAAACUGCCGGGCUUGAGGGAGAUAUAGGUGAGCGGAACUUAGGGUGGAGCGGUGAAAUGCGUUGAGAUCCUAAGGAACACCAGUAGCGAAAGCGGCUCACUGGGUCUCUACUGACGCUGAUGCACGAAAGCUAGGGGAGCGAAGAGGAUUAGAUACCCUCGUAGUCCUAGCUGUAAACAAUGAGCACUGGUUUGGAGGGUCCUCCAUAGCCUUCCAGACGUAGCGAAAGUGUUAAGUGCUCCGCCGUGGGGAUAGUGGUCGCGAAGGCUAGAA
rnacentral:rRNA from 1 species